rnacentral:rRNA from 1 species
CCUACGGGGAGCAGCAGUGAGGAAUAUUGGUCAAUGGACGCAAGUCUGAACCAGCCAUGCCGCGUGCAGGAAGACGGCUCUAUGAGUUGUAAACUGCUUUUGUACGAGGGUAAACGCAGAUACGCGUAUCUCUCUGCAAGUAUCGUACGAAUACGGAUCGGCUAACUCCGUGCCAGCAGCCGCGGUAAUCCGGAGGUUUCAGGCGUUAUCCGGAUUUAUUGGGUUUAGAGGGUGCGUAGGCGGUCUGAUAAGUUUGAGGUGAAAUCCCGAGGCGCAACUUCGGAAUUGCCUCGGAUACCGUUAGGCUGGAGAGUAGUGGCGGUAGGCGGAAUGUAUGGUGUAGCGGUGAAAUGCUUAGAGAUCAUACAGAACACCGAUUGCGAAGGCAGCUUACCAAGCUACUUCUGACGUUGAGGCACGAAAGCGUGGGGAGCAAACAGGAUUAGAUACCCGUGUAGUC